rnacentral:rRNA from 1 species
UAAUACAGAGGGUGCGAACGUUGCUCGGAAUUAUUGGGCGUAAAGCGCGUGUAGGCGGCUUGUUAUGUCGGUCGUGAAAGCCCACGGCUCAACCGUGGAAGUGCAACCGAAACUGGCAAGCUUGAGUCCUGACGAGGAUGGCGGAAUUCCCAGUGUAGAGGUGAAAUUCGUAGAUAUUGGGAGGAACAUCGGUGGCGAAGGCGGCCAUCUGGGAAGCGACUGACGCUGAGACGCGAAAGCGUGGGGAUCAAACAGGAUUAGAUACCCUGGUAGUCCACGCUGUAAACGAUGAACACUAGAUGUUGCGGGUAUUGACCCCUGCAGUGUCGACGCUAACGCAUUAAGUGUUCCGCCUGGGGAGUACGGCCGCAAGGCUA